rnacentral:rRNA from 1 species
AUUGAACGCUGGCGGCAGGCCUAACACAUGCAAGUCGAACGAGUGGCGGACGGAUGAGUAAUGUCUGGGAACCUGCCUGAUGGAGGGGGAUAACUACUGGAAACGGUAGCUAAUACCGCAUACCAUCAGAUGUGCCCAGAUGGGCUUGGUUAGUUGGUUGGGUAACGGCUCACCAGGGCGACGAUCCCUAGCUGGUCUGAGAGGAUGACCAGCCACCCUGGACCGGAGACACGGUCCAGACUCCUACGGGAGGCAUCAGUGGUGAAUAUUGCACAGUGGGCGCAAGCCUGAUGCAGCCAUGCCGCGUGUAUGAAGAAGGCCUUCGGGUUGUAAAGUACGUUCAGCGGGGAGGCGUUACCCGCAGAAGAAGCACCGGCUAACUCCGUGCCAGCAGCCGCGGUAAUUC